rnacentral:rRNA from 1 species
AGUAAAUAAAAAUUAUGAAAGCAAAAAAUUAUGGCGGUAUUUUAAGCUUUUCAGAGGAAUUUGCUCUUUAAUGGAUAAAACACCUAAAUCUUACUUAAAUUUGUUAAUUCAAUUUGUAUACCACUAUAAAAACAAUUUAUAACUUUAAUUGUUUAAAUUUAUUAAAUUAAAAUAUAUUAAGUCAAGGUGCAGUAAAAAUUUAAGAAUGAAGUGAAUUACAUUACUCUUUAGAGAAAUAAAUUUAAAAUAAUAUUUAGGAUUUGAAAGUAAAAUUAAAAUAGAAUGUUGGUUUGAAUUAAGCUCUAAAAUAUGUACAUA